rnacentral:lncRNA from 1 species
GGGUUGAUGCCGUGAGGGAAAGAAAGGGUGAAACACCUCGUGUUGAACCACAUCUUCGGCGUCGCUCCGACCGGCAGUCAGGGGCAGGGUGCUUCGUCGUGGCAUGGCACGAGUGUCUGUAGCACCGGUCGAUGGUAGGCGGCUUCGGUGAUCGCGGAAUUUCUCACCAGCGCAAUAUUUCUCCGUGGGACCACAUCGCGUCGUGAACAACACCGCGGGGACCUCGUGCUUCGGUAAUGCCCUCGGAUCGACUCUAUACCUCCUCUGCAUUGUUUAGCACCUGGUUACGCUUUGAAUCGAGCCCGGGCGUGACCAUUGGGCGCUCCCCGAUGAUGGCGCCGCCGUGGGCGGAAUCCGACUGACGUGGGGCGCGGUCGGGCGAGGGAGACGUGUCCCUAGGCGUCAAUCAAGGCUUCAACGACCGAGAUUAGAAGAUCGUAUAAUGUUUCACCUGGUUGAUCAUGAACCGUUGAUCCACAGAUGGACGUAGGACGUUAGAUCGAGGCACUUUAAAAUCUGCACCAUAGAUCUCGGGAUCAACGGCUGUGGUGCGUACCGUUUCGUUAUAAGAUCGACCUAAUCUGAGCCAUAGGAUAUUAAUCCUACGACCGUAGGCAGGUACGGUGCAAUAAGAUUGUGAGAUCUAAUAUGUGGCAUCUAUUUCGGAUCCAACGACUUAUCUUCGCCAAUACCCCUUCGCCCGGCAGGUUUUUGCAUAGGUGACCCCUUGUUUUUAGCGAAUUAACCCGCCGUCCACAAUCACUGUUAAAUAAUUACAACUGCACCCUGGAAUUUGUAGAUUAAACCUUGAGCUCUCUAGUAAUCAUGUCCGCGGCCCAGAACUUUCAGUUUAAUAAUAAAAUUAAUUAUAAAAUGAUUUAUAAUAUAGAAAUAAUUUCAUAAACUUGUUUAAUUCAUCUUAACUCUUUUUUGAGCCAUUCCAGUGGCAUUAAAUCCAUAAUUAUAUUGUUUAUCCCCUGGUAACUUUAUUUUGUUAUGAAACAUAAAUUAAAAUUAUGUACGUAAUUUCUUUUGUACCCAACUAUUAAAUUUUUGGAAAAUCAUAACUUUAUAACCGUAACUCCAAAUUUAGUGGUUCUCGAACCUGCGAUCUAGUUACGACACGUAGAACAUUAUUACACAGUUUGUUUUUAUGUUUGGUGUGAUGUUAAUUUUGCCUACACCAUAUUUGUUUGUAUUGCUACGAUUAGCAUCGAGGUCAUGAGAAUCUGAAGAUCAUCCUAGUACCUGGAAUCUCGAGCCUCAAGCAAGUUGUGCCCUUGAUCACUUUUCUUUACCCAAUAAUGUUCCUGCUAAUCACUGUGACAUGCUUAGGUUAAUCUGAUAGGACCUAAUAGGUUUUUCUAGACUUGUUUAUCCCACACCUUGUUUACCACUGAACCUUUGGGUAGUUUUGCUAUUGCUCUACCUGGUUUUGGGAUUAAUAUUACAUUAUGAUCAUGUUCCAGUUAUACUAUUGUUUUAAUUAUUGUUCAUGACAAGAUCAUUGUGUUAAUUGGAACAUGGAGCUUAACUUGAGAUAUCUGUGCUACCACAAGGGUGGAAUUGGACGCCCUUGGCUGACUAAUUAGGAAAGCUAGUGGAGGACUACCUUACCCGAAAGGGGCAAGGGUAGUAGGGGAGUUGUCGGUAUAGGGAGGUUCUCGGUUUGAUCAUGCUGCGAUGGCUUUUCGGACGGAGGAUUCCUAUAUUGCGCUCUCUAGAAACUGUAGCGGGUUUUCUGAAGCUAGUGGAACUUCGUAAAGGCCUCGUAGUGGAUCCCUAGCCAUUCACCUCGGAAGUGUCUAAGGGUCUAGCUAACCUUGGCUAGGCGAGAUACACGACUUGUGGGUAAAGGGCGCAACCUCUGUAGAUUGUAAAACUGGUAUAUCAACUGUGCUCGCGGUCAUGAGCAGAUCAUGACUCUCGCAUGAUUAAUUUAUGGAACUAAACUUAAUUUUUCAUAUGCAUUGCAUUGUGGGUGUUGUUAUUAAUUUGAUCUCUUACUUAUUUGGGUUGAUAUCUACUUAUACUUAGUAACUGCUAACAAAACUUUGACCAACUCUAAAAGCAAUGCAAAGCUUUAACCAUCUCCUUUGGUAAGCCUUACACUUCACAUGAGCUCCCACCUUUGGUGAGUUCAUGCACAUUAUUCCGCACAACUUGUUGAGCGAUGAACGUAUGUGAGCUCACCCUUGUUGUACUCACACCCCCUGGUCAAGGACAUGUACCACAAGAUGAGGCGCAUGAAGGAUGUUGUGAUGGGUUCAUGAGUGGUCUAGGUCGUCGUCUCCCAGUCAACUAUGGUUGUUGGAUUGAUGUCUUCGUAUGAUGUAAUUAUUUAUUUAUUUUGUACGAAACUCCUAUUAUAUAGUAAAGAUGUGACAUUCAUUUCUAUACCAUGAGUCAUCAUAUGUGUGAGACUUGAUCCUAGCAUACUUGGUGAUUAUUUCGCGCCCGGGUUUUGGCCCCUAAAACCCGGGUGUGACAGAAGUGGUAUCAGAGGAAUGUUGACUGUAGGACAAAACCUAGAUAGAAUUGUACAACCCUUACUUAGUUACCUUUGCUACUUUGAUUCUUUCUAAACUUUUAUUAAUCUUUUCUCAUCUAUUGCUGCUUUACUCUGAUUACUCUUACUUUUUCACUUCUAAAGACAAAAGUGGAUUUCACACUUUGAAAUUCGGUACCUAAAGCGACUUUUAGGAAUAGGAAACCUAAUCUUAGGAACCCAAUCAAAACUAUUUUUGUAAGUAUGUAUAUCCUUGACUGUUUGUUCUUAUGAUAACUGCCUGAUUCGGAUUUUGAUUGAGUGUGAUGAGUUGUGGAGUAAUAUCCACAAUUGCAUCUCCAUAUACACCUAGGCAUAAAAAAUGUUUAUAAAAUAACUAGACAACCUAAAUUAUCUCCCAUUAAAAUAUAUCUAGUAUCACAUAUCUAUCUUAUCUUAGCAGAUUCUAUCUUAUCCUUGGAGAUUCAUCUUAUAAGCAUAGCCAACCUGACAUAGACACAAAACAACAGAAUCAAGCUCUGCUUAAGAUCCUCCAGUUUAUGACCAACUACUAGGCUAUCUAUACUGCCUACUAAAUUAUUCCUCUUACAAAACAAUCUUACCAUAUAUUUCUAACCCAGAUGGUCAAUACCAGGAAGGGAGGCAAUAUCGAUCUACCUGCUAACAACCGUCGUAGGAUGAUUGUUAACCAACCACAACCAGAGAUGAAUCCUCCACCGAACCCUCCACCGCCUGGAACAGAUCCCGUUGCCAUCGCUCAGAUGCAGCUGCUGUGGCAAAUGGCAAACACCAUGAUGGAAAUGCAAGCGCAAAUGCGACAAGAACGUCAGGAGAUGUGCCAGGAAUGACAGGAAAUACGACAGGAAAUGAGGCAAGAACGCCAGGAAAUACGCCAAGUACGGCAGGAACAACAACAACUACCACCUCCACCACCACCAGCUCCGCCCAGGGAUAAGCAUCGAGAGUUUAUGAGUCACAAGCCCCCGACAUUCUCUAACUCCUCGGACCCACUACAAGUUGAUGUCUGGUUAAAGUUCAUGGAUAAGAUGCUCAACAUAGCUCAGUGCUCUGACCAGGAGAAAGUACUCUAUGCUUACUGGCCCCGCUGCGGAUUGGUGGGAUGCAUAUUACGUUGUUCACGCUAUUGCCAACACCAUCACCUGGGCAGAAUUCUCCACUCAAUUUAGGAAUUAUCACAUUCCUGUUGGCCUUAUGAAAAUUAAAAAGAAAGAGUUCCUAUCCCUCAAACAGGGAGGGAUGUCAGUAAGCGAAUACAGAGACAAUUCAUCCAGCUAUCCCAAUAUGCUGGAUAUAUUUAUGAUGUCAGCAGCCUUGGGAGCUCCUUUGAUUAGAGAUAUUCUGGAUAUAUUUAUGAUGAUGAUUUAGUCAUGAUGAUUAUAAUGAUGGAUUCUUAUAUUUCCUCUUGAAGGGAGUACUUUUUAGGUUAAUAACUUGGGGGUUAUUGCUAAAACUUGGCCCUCUACUAGUAAUAAAUACCUGACCAACUAAAAGCAAAUGCUUUGAGCUUCCCCCACAUACAGCUAGUCCACUUUAGUCAAAUGGGACAUUUGCUGAGUACCUUGAUGUGUACUCACCCUUGCUUAAACACCAAACACCAGGUUGUCCCCAUUGCAACCCUUGCUCAGGAGAAGAUGAAGGCAAUAUGUUGGACUUUCAGGACUUCGAUGAAUUCUAGAGUAGAUUAGUGGCAAACCCCCAGUCAGCUGCCUAUGAAGGCCUUAUCGUACUACGUUUCGUUCAGCACUUUGAUUUUAUGUUUAAGUUAAUGACUAUGUGGAUGUUUCAGACAUCAUGAUGUAAUAAAGUACUACUUUCCGCUAUUAUUUGAACAUUGUGUGAUGAUGUCCAAUUAUGUAAUCUAUGUGUAUGUGAAUUUCUGAUCCUUGCACGUACAUGGUUCCCAUUCGUUUUGCCUUCCAAAACCGGGUGUGACAUAAGUGAUAUCAAAGCCGUGCUGACUGUAGGACCGCUAGGCUAGAGUAGCAAUGGCUGUUCUAAGGACUAUAGACCCUCAUUCUCACCUUGGCCCUUGGUGUUACUUCAAAAGUUGGUCAUCUCGACUAACCCUAUGUUAUACUACUACAUAUAUACUACACCUUGCUAAAACUUUCUUUUAUUCUGCUUAUGGUUUACUUGCCGGUCAUAUUAGUUAUGUUCUUAAUCUUAUGCUUACGACAUCUUUUGUAGAUGGCUCGCAUUAGGCACACCACACAUAAGUCGAUGAUCCUUUCCUGCCCUCUCACCUUGCACGAGGAACAUGAAUGUCGAUGUCAGGAGAGGGAGCAGCAGGACUCUUCCUCGCCACCUCAGCAGAAGGUGGAGUCUAUGAGGCGCCUUUCCUUUAUGCCCUAGCUGGAGGCGCCUCUGCACCACCACAGGGCACCCCAUCUGCUGGAGGAGCCCCCGACGGAGAUGACGACAGUGGCAGCUUAGACCACAACAUGGAGCUUUCGGAGGAGCAGGAGCCGGAAGGAUAGGUCGCCCGACCCAUCACUCGUGACGCCGCUUGCGGUUGUCACUUCCACUAUGCUCUCGAUACCCUGUUAUGUCGGGCUUUUGACCGACACACCUGGUCGAUCGAGUACUGUUGUGAAGUCUACCAGCACAGUCGCAGGACGUACGCAGACUGUUGGGAGGCUACCUACCUGGUGCGCCAUCCAGAGGAUGACCUCCGAGGUGUAGAGGCCUACUCAGAGCACUAUGCCAUCUCUGAGAGGGACAAUGUUGAGGCAGCCACGCAGGAUGUUGCACGUCAUGCACUCUCGCAGUAUUGCUCAAUGUUCAAUGGGGUGGUUGACGAUAUUAAACUAAAUUACUACCAUCGCCAUUUGAGUGGUAGUACAAGGAGUAUGAUUGUCUCACCCAUUAGUGAAGGCAAUCCUAGGUUGAGCAACACAGUCAACCUGGUCGCCGUGCUCAACACUGAACCGGACCACACUCUUGAUGAGUUGAGCAAGGCUCAUGACACAAACUCGGUUAUCACGGUCUCGCAAGACUCUUGCCCCACUUGGUACAAUUAUAAUGGCUCGCACAAGAGCCGAGGGGUUGUGUGGUUUUUCUAAACUCACUCAACUAACUAGGAUUCACCUAGAGCAAGCUCUAAUGCGGUCUAACUAAUCUAAGCACUUCGCAAAGCGCCUACACUAAUCACCGAGUGAUUCUAUUAAGCACUUGGGUGUUUGAGCACUUGGAAAUGUCUACAAUAUGCCUUGGUAUGUUGCUUGGGCUCCCACACCUUCAAAUGGCCAGUUGGGGGUAUUUAUAGCCUUCCCUCUCAAUUAUAGCCGUUGAACAGAAAGUUGUUGUUUCUGUCGACGGGCACACCGGACAGUCCGAUGCACACCGGACAUGCAUUGUUCACUGUCCGGUGCCCUAGCCACAUCAGUCGACCGUUGGAUCCAACCGUUACCUAGACAGUCCGGUGCUACACCCCGAGGGCGCCUGGUUGUGGGCCCCUUUGCGCAGACUGCCCGGUGUCCCAUCGGACAGUCUGGUGCACACCAGACAGGUACUGUUCACUAUCUGGUGUGCCUCUAGUGUGCAUGGCUGAAUGCCCACUUCAUGGAUUUCUUCUCUGUUUCCUGGGGUUUCUUUUAUUCUUGAGUCUUGGACUUCUAUGCACCUUUUAUGUCUUCUUUUGAAGUGUUGCAUCCUCAAUGCAUUAGUCCAAUUCACUUCGCAUCCUGUGAACUAUAAAAAACAAAUACUAGCAAACACAUUAGUCCACAAGGUUAUGUUGAUCAUCAAAAACCAAACUCACUUAGUCAAAUGGCCUAGGGUCCAUUUUGCUUACACAACCGUCAGUUGUGAUAAGAGAACAGUGAGGUUAGUGUCCCCAUCCAGAGAAGAGAUAGUAACUGAACUGAUCAUGCGUGAUCUAGAGGAAGGGGCCUACCAUCAAAUGUUCAUGGAUGGUAAGGAGUCCAACCCGCUUGAGGCCAUCAGAGUUGUGUCGGAAUUUCUAGAUGUGUUUCCUGAAGAACUACCAGGCAUGCCACCCGAGCGGAAACGUCAAGUUUGCUAUAGAGCUUGACCCUGGCACCGCCCCUAUUUCUAAGAGAGAUUAUAGAGUGUUUGGACCAGAAUUGGUGGAACUCAAAAAGAAGAUCGAUGAGUUGUUAGAGAAAGGUUACAUCAGACCUAGUACCUCACCUUGGGCCGCUCCAGUUCUGUUCGUGGAGAAGAAAGAUGGGACCAAGAGAAUGUGCAUAGACUACAUAGCUCUGAAUGAAGUCACAAUCAAGAACAAGUACCCUCUACCCAGAAUGUAAGACCUAUUUGACUGGCUCAGAGGAGCCAGUGUAUUCUCGAAUAUAGAUCUAAGGUCAGGUUACCAUCAGCUCAGGAUCUGACCUUCAGACAUACCGAAGACGACAUUCAUCACCAAGUAUGGCCUAUAUGACUACACAGUCAUGUCCUUCGGUUUGAUGAAUGCGCCAGCUUUCUUCAUGUAUUUGAUGAACAGUGUGUUCAUGGACUAUCUAGACAAGUUUGUAGUGGUGUUCAUCGAUGAUAUCCACAUAUAUUCUCAGAAUGAGGAAGAGCAUGUGGAACAUUUGAAGAUGGUAUUGCAACAGUUAUGAGAGCAUUAGUUGUAUGCCAAGCUGAGCAAAUGUGAAUUCUAGAUUCAUGAAGUCCUAUUCUUGGGUCACAUCAUUAACCGAGAUGGGUUAGCUGUGGAUCUAAAGGAGGUAGCAUAUAUUCUGGACUGGAAAGCACCGAAAGAUGUCUGUGGAAUCAAGAGUUUUAUUGGAAUGGCCGAAUAUUAUUGGUGUUUCAUUGAAGGUUUCUUUAAGAUUUCCAGACCAAUGACAGUCUUACUAGCGAAUAAAGUCGAGUUCAAGUGGACCCUAGAGUGUCAGGAGGCAUUUGAAGCGUUGAAAAAGAGGGUGACUACAACACCUGUUUUGAUCCUACCUGAUGUUCACAAGCCAUUCUCAGUGUACUGUGAUGCAUCUUACACCGAACUGGGAUGUGUGCUAAUGCUAGAAGGGAGAGUGGUGGCAUACUCAUCCCGACAGUUGAAGGUCCAUGAGAAGAAUUAUCACACACAUGACCUGGAAUUAGCCGCAGUGGUUCAUGCAUUGAAAACAUGGAGACACUAUCUAUAUGGGCAGAAAUGUGAUGUUUACACAGACCACGAGAGUCUUAAGUAUAUAUUCACCCAGUCAGAGCUAAACAUGAGGCAACGAAGAUGGCUAGAGUUGAUCAAAGAUUAUGAGUUGGAGAUACAUUACCACACAGACAAAGCCAAUGUAGUUGCAGAUGCCCUAAGCAGAAAGAGUCAAGUCAACAUGAUGGUCGUCCACCCGAUGCCAUAUGAGUUGGCCAAGGAAUUCGACAGGCUGUCUCAAAUUUCUGAAUAGCAUACAGGGAGUAACAGUUGAACUGGAACCCACCCUAGAGCGAGAUAUCAAAGAAGGACAAAAAAAUGAUGAGAAGAUCACUGAGAUCCGGCAGCUAAUCCUAGAAGGGAAAGGCAAAGACUUUCGAGAAGAUGCAGAAGGCAUGUUAUGGUUCAAAGAUCGGUUAUGUGUUCCCGAAAUCAAGUCGAUUCGGGAGCUAAUCCUCAAUGAAGCCCAUGAAACAACCUAUUCCAUACACCUUGGAAGCGAGAAGAUGUACCAAGACUUGAAGAAGAGAUUCAGGUGGUGCCGUAUGAAAAGGGAGAUCGUAGAAUAUGUUGCCAUAUGUGAUAGCUGUCAGAGAAUUAAGGUGGAACACCAAAGGCCCAAAGUUUCGUUGCAGCCGCUACAGAUUCCUCAAUAGAAGUGGGAUGAGAUCGUGAUGGACUUUAUCGUUGACUUGCCUCGCACUCGAGCCAGCUAUGACUCCAUCUAGGUAGUAGUGGACCGCUUAAGAAAGAUGUCGUAUUUCGUACCAGUCAAGACUAGCUACAGAAGUGCAGUGUUGGCAGAGUUAUACAUGUCUCGAAUUGUCUGCUUGCAUGGAGUAACAAAGAAGAUAUUGUCAGAUCGAGGAACACAGUUCACCUCUCACUUUUGGUAGCAGAUGCAUGAAACCUUGGGCACGCAUCUGAAUUUCAGUUCGGCUUAUCACUAGCAGAUAAAUGGUUAGACCGAAAGAACUAACUAGAUCCUAGAAGAUAUGUCGAGGGCCUGCGCUUUGCGGGACAAGUUAGGUUGGGAUAAGAGAUUACAUUAUGCAGGGUUCUCUUACAACAAUAGUCAUCUGGCCAGUUUAAAGAUGCCACAGUUUCAAGCACUCUAUGGGAGGAAUUGUCGAACUCCGUUGCACUGGGACCAACACGGCAAAAGGCUGGUGUUCGAUCCAGACAUUUUGCUCGAAGCCGAGGAGAAUAUCAGAAUGGUUCGAGAGAAUAUGAAGAUGGCACAGUCAAGGCAGCGAAGUUAUGCUGACACUAGAAGAAGAGAGCUGAGUUUUGAACUUUGAAGUGGGAGAUUAUGUUUACCUGAAAGUGUCACCUAUCAGAGGAGUCAGAAGGUUCGGAGUCAAAGGCAAAUUACCACCUCGAUAUAUCGGGGAGAAGUGGCCUACCAACUCAGCCUACCAUAAAGCCUGUCAGUAGUGCAUAAUGUUUUCCACAUAUCUCAGCUGAAGAAAUGUUUGCGAGUGUCAUAGGAGCAGUUGCCAACCGAGGACCUCAAAGUCCAAGAAGACUUGACAUACAUAGAGAAGCCAACCCAGAUUCUAGAAACAGCAGACAGAGUCACUCAGAGGAACACCAUCAGAAUAGGCAAAGUCAAAUGGAGUCACCAUUCCGAGGAAGAAGCAACCUGGGAAAGAAAAGAUGAUAUGAGAGCCAAGUAUCACAAACUCUUUGCUGGCCAACCCUAAAUCGCGAGGCGCGAGAUUCUUUUAAGAGGGAUAGAUUUGUAACACCCUGAAUUUGGGGUAUAAAAUUUCUUCUCUAGUAUCCACCAAAUUCAGGUGUUACCUCUCUUCUCCUCUCUCCAUUUUCCUUUUUCGUUUUCCUAUAGUAGAGGAGUGGCUAGUUUAGUUGGAAACAUAAUAAUAUUCUAGUAGACAAAACUCCAAGGGAGUAUGAAUUGUUGCAUCAUGCUGAACCCCAAACUUUAUUCUUGUUUGAUGCAUAUGCUAAAAGUGUUCAAAUUUCAAUUUGUGGCAUGGUUGAUUUUGAAUUCAAAAGAGAAAAUAAAACGAAAAGGAAAACAAAAUUCAGAAUAAAGGAGAAGCCCAAAGAAGCCCAUAACCCCCUUCCCUCUGCCUUUCGGCCCACCAGCCCAACUCCCCCCUCCAGCGCACCCGCCCCUCUCUCCCCGCCCGGUGGGCCCGCUUUGUCGAUGCCUUCCCUCGUGCGUCUGUGCGCCCCUGCUCACUCUCUGCUCGACGGCCCCCACAUGCCAGCGACUCCACCCGCGCCCCCGCAACAAUCCCCCUGCCCUGCACGCACACCGAGGCGCCCGUGCCCGCGUCGCGCCCCCUCUGAAACCGUCGCCCCGGUCCCCUUUGAAGUCUCCGCGCACGUCCAUCACCCACCUCACUUCCUUUGUCCCAGCUAGUGCUGGGAAUUGGGCUGGGCCAGGCCAGCCCGGCCCAAGCCCAUCGUGCUUCGUGUCAAACGGGUUCGGGUCAGGAAAGGCCAAAUAACUUUUGGGUCGUGUCGUGCUAGCCCGAAGUGUAAAAACAGUGGCCCAGCCCGGUCCUAAACCACGUCGUGCCUUCGUUGGGCCGUGCCGGCCCAAGCCCGACCCAUAUAUUUGACCACAUAAAAUCAAAAUAUUACAACCAUAUAAAGUUCAUAGCUUACUAAAUUAAACAUAUUAAACAAUUCUAACAUCAUUUAACCACAUAAACUCUAAAUAUAACACCAAUAUAAAGUUGAUAUCUUACUAAAUUAAAGAAAUUAAACAGAUUAGGGUUAAUUGGGCCGUGCCGGCCCAAGCCCGGUCCAUCUAUGCGGGCCAUGCCGAGGGCCCGACGGGCCGAAAUUUGAGACCUGACCCAUAUUAUUUCGGUCGGGCCGUGCUUUGUGCUUCUAUUUUCGGGCCGUCCUCGUGCUAGCCUGAAAAGCCCGGCCCAUAUUACCGGCACUAGUUCGAGCGCACCCGCCCGAGUUGCCUUCGCACGCGCCCAGGCUCAUCGGAGUUUCCCCACCGCCGAGCCGCUUGCGCCUGGAUUCCCCACGGCAAGGUCGCUUCACCAUCCCUGAGCGUGGUCCACCACCGCCGCUUGGAGCUCCGCCUCGAUCGAGCCUCACCCGAGGUAAGCUCACUCGUCGGACUUCCUUUUCUCUCUCCCCCAUUCUCCCUUCCCUGUUGAGCAGCCGCCGGUGAAGGCUGACGACAUCACUGUGCUGUUGUGUCGGGGUUCUCCGGCCAACCGCCACCGCCCCACGUUCCUCUCCCCUGUGCAAAACCGCCAGCCCCAGCCAUGGCGCCCCACGCAAUGCACGAUCGGGAGGUAGACGACGACCCUGAAACCACCCGACCUAAAACGACAAAAACACACACAUAGUGCAACGCUCCCAUAUAGUAACACCUCUCUAGUUGAAGUAAGACCUAUAAAAAAAGUAUGGGCCUUUUUUUAACUCAUAUCUUUCUCGGAUUUUGAUUAAGAUAAAGUGUAAUAUUGUACCGAAUUUUUCGUAAUUUAGCCUCUCUUUUGAAAAAAAAAUGCACAUCUAGACCUCCGGAUGACUUAAUGUCGUUUUUGGACCCUUUCCUCGGCGCCAUACACCGUGGCGCCGAGGUAACACAGCUCGGCGCCAUAGCAUACGGCGCCGAGAUACCUAGUACGCUGGACUCAUUUUGCUGAGCUGGCAUCUACGUGGCCGGAGCUCAGCUUUGAGUUUUGGUCGAGGGUCCGUGCAUCUGAGCCAGACGCGGAGCGCAGCUAUGGAAUUGGAAUUGGGAUUGCGCGGCUAGCUAUAUAGUACAACAACAGCGCCUCAUGUCACCUCGUCCACUGUGCAGUACAUCGCCUCAUGUCACCUCGUCCACUGUGGCAGUACACUCUCUACAAGAGAGCACGUCACGGUCUCACGGACACUUCUGUAGAAAGAAAGAAACUACGUCAGAAUCAGAAUCACAAAGACAAUCACAAAGGGGGAAAAAGCUUGCAAAAAGGUAUCAGAUCACAAAGACAAUCAUGAAGCUAGACUGAACUAAGAUUUGGGAUAGCAAGUCACUUCGAAUCGGCCAGUAGAUGAUGUUGUGGUAAUUGAAUUUAAGUUUACUAUGAUCUUUUUUUUUGUGGCAAGCAGAGACGACGGAGCUAUGAACACAAGCUGCUGAAUUUAGCUAUCUUAAUUACUGCUAUAAACCAACAUCACCGAUCCCAAUUCCUUGCACUAGCAGAAGACAAUAAAUUGGCAUAGCUCCAGAUCUUCUUCUUUUUUUUCCCGAAGAAGCAGGUUACUUGGAUAGUUGGAACUGAAUUGGGUUCAUUCUUUUGAAAUCGAUUUAGUUAGUCUCAUGUGCUGUUCAUUAAACAGGUAUCUAUCUUGAUUUAAGAUUAAGCAGCCACCGCACUUGUGACCAUCAGUAGUUCAAAAAGAAAAAAAACAACUCAGAUCAUACAAGAUUUUCGCCAUGUGAUAAAUCGAUGCCUACAAAAAUGAAUCUUAAACUUACUGAAAAUCUCUAGUGUAUACCCUGUGUGGCCUUCGAAGGAGGAAAAAAGUUACGUCUUUCACUCAACCCCCAUCCUGUAUCUUUUUGUUUUAUACGUGCAGUGCAUGUGCCAAGCUUUUGUCUUCAACUCUUCACAAGGACGCGCCGCGCGCAGAGUCAAAGUCAGAGCGAGACUGCAAGAGGAACAGAGACGCACAAUAAUUAGAAAAUAGUACACACAGUAACGCCUUUCAUUCAAUCCAUCCAGCCGACCACUUACCAGCGUGUGUAGCAAUUGUUUGAGCUCGGCCACGUAGAUGCCAACUCAGCCACGUAGAUGCCAGCUCAGCAAAAAGAGUCCAGUGUACUAGGUACCUCGGCGCCGUAUACUAUGGCGCCGAGAAAAGAGUCCAAAAACGACAUUAAGUCAUCCGGAGGUCUAGAUGUGCAUUUUUUUCAAAAGACAGACUAAAUUACAAAAAAAAAUUCGGAAUAUUGUACUCCAUAUGAUAUUUAAACCAUAUGUUGACUGAUAUUAAAAUUAUUUUUUAUUUUAUGGCUUUUGAAUAUGAUUGUGUGCGGUGAACGCACGGGCAUGGUAAAUAACUAACGGCUUGUCUCGGCUUCCAAUCCAAUUUGCAGCUCCAGCCACGUCACGCCGCCAUCCGUGCGAGCGCCUCGCCUGCGUGCUCGCCGGUGGACAGUCUGAGCCUCCGAUAGUCGUUGUAGUUGAACACCUUGUACCUGCGCGGGUGGUCCGCGUCCACGAACGCCGCCGGUGCGCUCACGCUGUCGUCCUUGGGUGCGAGCAGGAACAUGGCGAUGGAGAUGCGCGGCACGGGUGCGACGCACCGCACCCGGUGCUUCACGUUGUGCAGCCUCCCGUUGCUCCACGCCUAGAAACGCACGACAUGGAUACAGGUAGGGUCGUCGUCAGGCUCAAAAGCAAGGCACGCAUGGAAUUUGGCCACAAG